GUACUGCUGAUGAGUCCCAAACAGGACGAAACAGCUGUUCAGUGC
rnacentral:hammerhead_ribozyme from 1 species